AGAUAUGAUCCAGAGUACCACGGGACACGUGAAACCCUGUGGGAAGCAGGAGGGACCACCCUCCAAGGCUAAAUACUACCUAGUGACCGAUAGCGUAUAGUACCGUGAGGGAAAGGUGAAAAGAACCCCGGGAGGGGAGUGAAAUAGAACCUGAAACCCUGCACUUACAAGCUGUGGAAGCACAGUUCUUGUGUGACCGCGUACUUUUUGUAGAACGGGCCAACGAGUUACGUUAGGUAGCAAGGUUAAGGACUUAAGGUGCGGAGCCGUAGCGAAAGCGAGUUUUAACUGAGCGUUCAGUUACUUGACGUAGACCCGAAACCGGGCGACCUACCCAUGAGCAGGAUGAAGCGAAAUUAAAAUUUCGUGGAGGUCCGAACCCACGAGCGUUGAAAAGCUCGGGGAUGACUUGUGGGUAGCGGUGAAAUUCCAAUCGAGCCCGGAGAUAGCUGGUUCUCCCCGAAAUAGCUUUAGGGCUAGCCUCAAGGUGAGAGAUACGGAGGUAGAGCACUGAAUGUCCUAUGGGGUAUUGCACCUACCGAAG
rnacentral:rRNA from 1 species